CUAGGACGAACGCUGGCGGCGUGCCUAACACAUGCAAGUCGAACGGGGAUUUGUUUCGGCAGGAUCCUAGUGGCGAACGGGUGAGUAACGCGUAGGCAACCUGCCCUCCGGCCGGGGACAACACUCCGAAAGGGGUGCUAAUACCGGAUACGAAGUCUGUGCCGCAUGGUACGGAUUUGAAAGAUGGCCUCUAUUUAUAAGCUAUCGCCGGGGGAUGGGCCUGCGUCCGAUUAGCUGGUUGGUGGGUAACGGCCUACCAAGGCGACGAUCGGUAGCCGGUCUGAGAGGAUGAACGGCCACAUUGGGACUGAGACACGGCCCAGACUCCUACGGGAGGCAGCAGUGGGGAAUCUUCCGCAAUGGGCGCAAGCCUGACGGAGCAACGCCGCGUUGAGUGAGGAAGUUCUUCGGAACGUAAAGCUCUGUUGUUCCUGACGAACCUCCCCUCUAUCAACAACGGAGGGGACUGACGGUAGGGAACGAGGAAGCCACGGCUAACUACGUGCCAGCAGCGGC
rnacentral:rRNA from 1 species